CCUACGGGAGGCAGCAGUGGGGAAUAUUGCACAAUGGGGGAAACCCUGAUGCAGCGACGCCGCGUGAGUGAAGAAGUAAUUCGUUACGUAAAGCUCUAUCAGCAGGGAAGAAACACUGACCUUACGGUCAGCAGACGGUACCUGAGUAAGCAGCCCCGGCUAACUACGUGCCAGCAGCCGCGGUAAUACGUAGGGGGCAAGCGUUAUCCGGAUUUACUGGGUGUAAAGGGAGCGUAGACGGUGCGGCAAGUCAGAAGUGAAAUGCCGCAGCUUAACUGCGGAACUGCUUUGGAAACUGGCGAACUAGAGUGCGGGAGGGGUAAGCGGAAUUCCUAGGGUAGCGGUGAAAUGCGUAGAUAUUAGGAGGAACACCGGUGGCGAAGGCGGCUUACUGGACCGUAACUGACGUUGAGGCUCGAAAGCGUGGGGAGCAAACAGGAUUAGAUACCCGAGUAGUC
rnacentral:rRNA from 1 species